AAGCUGCUGAACUUCUGGCUCUUCUGGCUGUUCUUACUCCGGAACAACCCAAGUUGUUGAUGAGAAACCAUCCCAAGCUGCACAGAGUGGCCUCAAAUCGAAGAGAACACCAUCCAGAGGCAGGCCUGGACGAACUUGCUGUUGAGGUCAUGGGCCGGAUACAUGACCGAAUCUCAAGAAACCACUGACAGCUCAGCUUUGUGGCAUGUUUGGGCUCUGGGUUUCCUGUGAUGAGCUUCUCCAAUCUGAGGGAUGGAUCUCCCCAGCAUUGUCAAAGUUAAGCAUCACCU